CAGCUAGCUUUCCUCCCCGUUUUCGUUUUCCGGUGCCUUGCUUGUUCUAGUAGCCGGUUCUCAAUCCUCACCCAAGCGCCUCUAGGCCGAGGCUCGGAGGCCACGGCGAGGAGGAGCAGCAGCUGCCAGCAGGGGAGGACACGGAUAGUAGCCGGCCUCCCGCCGCCCGAGGCCCAACCGCCCCCGCAAUUACUGUUGUUGCUGCGUGCAGAGCGGUUUUGAAUUGCCGUCUCCUACCCAGGAAUAAUCCAUGGCCCCGCCUCCGCCAUGGCUUGCCGCCCUCCUCUUCCUCCUCCUACCCGCGCUGCUGCCGGCGGUCGGCUCCGUCUCCGGCGCGGCGGCUGCCGGCAUCUUCCGGGUGCGGCGUAAGUUACCAGCCGGAGUUGGAGGGGACACUGGCGCCAACAUCAGCGCCCUUCGUGCCCACGACGGUCGCCGCCACGGCCGCCUUCUCGCGGCUGCCGACCUCCCGCUCGGUGGCCUAGGUCUCCCCACUGACACCGGGCUCUACUUCACGGAGAUCAAGCUCGGGACGCCGCCCAAGCGCUACUACGUCCAGGUCGACACUGGCAGCGACAUCCUGUGGGUUAACUGCAUCUCCUGCUCAAAAUGCCCCCGCAAGAGCGGACUCGGGUUAGACUUGACGUUCUAUGACCCCAAGGCGUCCUCGAGCGGGAGCACGGUGUCCUGCGAUCAGGGAUUCUGCGCGGCCACCUAUGGGGGGAAGCUGCCAGGGUGCACUGCCAAUGUGCCCUGCGAGUACAGCGUCAUGUACGGUGAUGGUAGCUCAACGACUGGGUUCUUCAUCACCGAUGCGCUGCAGUUUGAUCAGGUGACUGGGGAUGGACAGACACAGCCUGGCAAUGCUACCAUCACAUUCGGGUGUGGUGCUCAGCAAGGUGGGGAUUUGGGCAACUCAAACCAAGCUCUUGAUGGAAUUCUUGGUUUUGGUCAGGCAAAUACGUCAAUGUUAUCACAGCUAGCUGCUGCUGGUAAAGCGAAGAAGAUAUUUGCUCAUUGCUUGGAUACCAUAAAGGGUGGUGGAAUUUUUGCUAUUGGAAAUGUUGUUCAGCCAAAAGUAAAAACAACACCGUUAGUAGCUGACAUGCCGCACUACAAUGUGAACCUUAAGUCAAUUGAUGUUGGUGGCACUACAUUACAGCUCCCGGCUCAUGUUUUUGAAACAGGAGAGAAAAAAGGCACCAUAAUCGACAGUGGUACUACCUUGACAUACCUUCCAGAAUUGGUUUUCAAACAAGUAAUGGAUGUGGUAUUUAGCAAGCAUCGAGAUAUAGCCUUCCAUAAUUUGCAAGAUUUUUUGUGUUUCCAAUAUUCUGGAAGGUAUGGCUUACACAAUAUAGCUGCAGUUGGAAGAGUACUAAAUUACCUGCAAUUUCUUCUGUGCUGCAUUUCAUACAUGAUGAAAUAAAUUAUUAUCGAACCCUGAUAUUAAAAAAACUCAGCCGGGGAGGGAAAAACCGUCCUCCCGGUAUUAUAUUAGAAGAGACUGAAACAUGGUCCCGGCCGAAAAAAUCCCCGAACCUUGGCCCCCAUCACUAGCGGACCGUCACCACCCACUCUGCAACGGCCCGGCCGGAGGGUGGCGCGCAGGUCGUAACCCAGAAGCGGGCGGGGCACAACGAGGGGAUUUUUUAACCAAGGCAGAAAUUCGUCCCCGAGAGUGUAGAUGAUGGAUUCCCGACCAUCACCUUCCAUUUUGAGGAUGAUCUUGCACUGCAUGUGUAUCCACAUGAGUACUUUUUCCCAAAUGGGAAUGACAUAUACUGUGUGGGAUUCCAAAAUGGUGCAUUACAAUCAAAAGAUGGGAAGGACAUUGUGCUUAUGGGAGAUCUUGUGCUUUCAAACAAGUUGGUUGUCUAUGACUUGGAAAAUCAAGUCAUCGGGUGGACUGACUAUAACUGUUCGUCGAGCAUUAAAAUUAAGGACGACAAGACAGGCACAACCUAUACUGUCGAAUCACAUGACAUAUCCUCCGGAUGGAAAUUCCACUGGCACAAGUCCCUGGUUCUGUUGUUGGUAACAAUGGUGUGGAGCUAUUUAUAGUACACUAACUCUAUUGUACAACACGAACACGCACUUACCGAAAUUCAUUUGAUUCGUAUUCUUUUCACAAAAAAGAAUAUCUAGGGUUUUAACUUGCGUUCUCUGACCACGGAAAACGAUGAAAACAAAAACGUUGUGUGCCAUACAAUGAGCCUGUGUGUCACUA